GGUUGGACAGACUUACUAAUAUCUGAUUCCAAGAAAUUUGUUUCUAGGGUGGGAAACU
rnacentral:ncRNA from 2 species